rnacentral:misc_RNA from 1 species
UUCUUUAUCUCUGUUUCCCUCUUUCUUUCAAUUGCGUUUUAUUAUUUUUUCCUCUUUUUUUUUUAAAAAAAAUCUGCGUUUGCUUAGGCUUGCUAAUUAUUAACGUGCCUUUCGAUUUAAUCAAUAAUUUGUUCCUGGAUUCUUCCAAAAUGCUUUUUAGUUUCUUUUUUGCUACAUCGAUUUUGGAUCUGUCUAUUUGCUGUGUAUAUGUGACUUUCCUUACUCUCGACUGACACACCGGAGAUUCAGUUCUAGCAGUUAACCUAAGGGUGAAACCCUAAUUUGCUUUAAUUAGUAAAUUUCGUAUCUGUUAUGGGUUUGUUUUCAAAAUGAAAAGAGAAAUGCCUUUAUCGGUUAUUCAUAGUUCUUCAUGCAAAUACAAUGAGUUCUUAUUUCCUUGUUGGAAGUUUGCGGACGAAGCAGCAUUGUAUGAAGUUAACAAUAAGGGAUAGAGUUUGGGCAUCUGUAAUUUUAUGGCUUGCAAAAGCUUUAAUGAUUUCAAUUUUAAUUGGAGUAAGGAUAUUUGAAUUCUUGUUUGCAAAAAUGACUGAAGCUUAGUUCACUUAAGCAUUGCCAAAAGUGGAAAAGAAAUGGGUUUUCUCUCUUUAAUUUGGCAUAUUGUAUAAUUUAUUUAGAUUUGUUGCACUGAAGUAGAUUUUUUUGCUGAUAUGUUAAUAUGAAAUGCCCAGCUGUAUGUGAUGAAAGUUGCAAAAAUUGGUGAUAAUAUCAUUCCUUCUGGAUUUGGAAUAUGCUAGUAAAAGCAUUAAGAGAAAGUCACAUGGUUUACUUGAUGUGUAGCAAAAGUUUAGAACUGAAAAGUUUGCCACCUUCAAAUUGUUGAAUUUUUUUGAUAAUCUUUGGCAGUGUCUUUAAAGCCAGA